AUUUAAAUCAUUAAAACUUGAACAAGUUCCACAUGCACAAUCGUGAUCUUCUGGAACAACAGCAACUUCUACAGGAAAAUGAAAUAUUUUUUGAGACAAAUAUUGUCACAAUUCAUAUCUAAGACAAACCCACCUUCCAAAUUGCCACAACCGACAUGAAAAAUUCCAUUGCCAAAAAGCAUACAUUUAAGUGCCCCAUAAUUUGUAAAGAUUAUGGGAAUAAAGGCAUCAAAUAUGCCGGUGGUGGCAAUGAAGAUAACUUCAUAUAGGAUUAGAAAAAAUAUUAAAAGAAAGAGCUUCAUCCAUUAAUCUUAAAUGGUCAAAUCCUAACAUAGUAUUGCAAAGAUCAAAGGAAUUACACAUUGUUUCUAACAACUUUCCCCUACAACAAAAUAACCCAUCUCUAAAACUAAAAUUACAUACAACAAAGACACAAGAUUUAAGGCACAGAAAUUGGCUUUGAUAAUGGGAGAAAGCACUUAAGCCUUCUUGGGGGACUUGGUGGCCUUAGAGGGAGACUUGGGUUCCUUGGUGGCUUUGUCAGACUUUUUGGGCAACAAAACAGGAUUAAUAUUGGGAAGGACACCUCCAUGAGCAAUGGUUACACCUGCAAGUAACUUUCCAAGCUCUUCAUCAUUUCUCACAGCAAGCAAUACGUGCCUUGGUAUUAUUCUAUUCUUCUUGUUAUCUCGAGCUGCAUUCCCAGCCAAUUCCAACACCUGAAUUCCCAAAACUUAAGGUAUCAGAACAGAGAAUAUAAAUUUCAACCUGGUUCACAGUGUAAAACAGAAGAAUUAGAGAAUUCAAAAGGAAAAGCAACUAGUGUGUCACUAAUCUAGCUUGCAAAAGGCAAAAUCAGAUUAAAAGGACUCGCAAUCUUUUUUUUUUCUUGAAAACCAUAAUUCAAAUUCAUGGACAGUAUCGCUUGAAUAACUUUUGGACAUAAUAAGAAAAACUUUAAGCUCCAUUUGCUACUUGUGAUGGCCCAAGAAAGUAUGAGUCGCGAAAGACAACUUUUUCCAUCAUUUUCCUAACAACCAAACAGGCAUUUGGGACCAGAAUGAACAAAAAAACAGCAAAUUUGGCAGAGUUCACAGAGAGUAAACAAAAUCCCAACUGAUAUGUAAUACAUAAACAAUAAAAGACUAAAUAAGCUAGAAUCACAGAUCUGAACCUAAACGAAUAAGAUAAAUCCAAAAGGGGGGAAAGGAUAUAGAGGUUACUUCAGCAGCCAAGUACUCGAGCACUGCAGCCAAGUAAACUGGAGCGCCCGUUCCAACCCGCUCGGAAUAUCUCCCCUUCUUCAAGUAACGCCCGAUUCUCCCAACGGGAAACUGCAGACCCGCUUUGACCGACCUUGAAACGGGCUUCUUCUUCGGACCUCCACCUUUCCUCCCUCCAGCCCCCUUUUUCACUUUCCCUCCGGUCUCCAUGUCCACCUGAUAGAUACGGGCGAUUUAGAUUCUCGGAGAAAGGAAACCACCGAUCCGGUCUUGUUAGAUACACAGAUAGAGGCGAUACAGAUAGUUCACAGCGGUCCC
rnacentral:misc_RNA from 1 species